rnacentral:rRNA from 1 species
CCUACGGGGGGCAGCAGUGGGGAAUAUUGGACAAUGGGCGAAAGCCUGAUCCAGCCAUGCCGCGUAUGUGAAGAAGGCCUUCGGGUUGUAAAGCACUUUCAGUGGGGAAGAAAGCCUUGGGGCUAAUACCCUCGAGGAAGGACAUCACCCACAGAAGAAGCACCGGCUAACUCCGUGCCAGCAGCCGCGGUAAUACGGAGGGUGCGAGCGUUAAUCGGAAUUACUGGGCGUAAAGCGCGCGUAGGCGGUCUGAUAAGCCGGUUGUGAAAGCCCCGGGCUCAACCUGGGAACGGCAUCCGGAACUGUCAGGCUAGAGUGCAGGAGAGGAAGGUAGAAUUCCCGGUGUAGCGGUGAAAUGCGUAGAGAUCGGGAGGAAUACCAGUGGCGAAGGCGGCCUUCUGGACUGACACUGACGCUGAGGUGCGAAAGCGUGGGUAGCAAACAGGAUUAGAUACCCGUGUAGUC